ensembl:miRNA
AGCAAUUGGAGAAGAUUGCAGAGUAAGUUCCAUAUCUUAAUUAGGAACUUACUCUGCAAUCUUCUCCAGUUGCU